UACGGAGGGAGCUAGCGUUGUUCGGAAUUACUGGGCGUAAAGCGCACGUAGGCGGUUUAUCAAGUCAGAGGUGAAAGCCCGGGGCUCAACCCCGGAACUGCCUUUGAAACUAGUAGACUUGAAUCUUGGAGAGGUCAGUGGAAUUCCGAGUGUAGAGGUGAAAUUCGUAGAUAUUCGGAAGAACACCAGUGGCGAAGGCGACUGACUGGACAAGUAUUGACGCUGAGGUGCGAAAGCGUGGGGAGCAAACAGG
rnacentral:rRNA from 2 species